rnacentral:rRNA from 1 species
AGAGUUUGAUCCUGGCUCAGAACGAACGCUGGCGGCGUGGAUAAGACAUGCAAGUCGAACGAGAUUUUUCGUUGUAGCAAUACGAUGGAAAAUUUAGUGGCGAACGGGUGCUUAACACGUGGGCAACCUGCCAAGAAGUGGGGGAUAGCUCGCCGAAAGGCGAAUUAAUACCGCAUGUGAUUAGAGAGGACAUCUUUUCAAAAUUAAAGUCGGGGCAACCUGACGCUUCUUGUGGGGCCCGCGGCCUAUCAGCUAGUUGGUGAGGUAACGGCUCACCAAGGCUUUGACGGGUAGCUGGUCUGAGAGGACGACCAGCCACACUGGGACUGAGACACGGCCCAGACACCUACGGGUGGCAGCAGUCGAGAAUUUUUGACAAUGGGGGAAACCCUGAUCGAGCGACGCCGCGUGGAGGAUGAAGGUCUUCGGAUUGUAAACUCCUGUCAUUGGGGAACAAGGUGCAUACGUUAACUGCGUGUGCAUUGAUAGUACUCGAAGAGGAAGAGACGGCUAACUCUGUGCCAGCAGCCGCGGUAAUUC